AUGAACGCUAGCGGCAGGCCUAACCCCUGCAAGUCGCGGGGUAGAAGGAGCUUGCUCCUUUGAGACCGGCGCACGGGUGCGUAACGCGUAUGCAAUCUACCUUGUACAGGGGAAUAGCCCAGAGAAAUUUGGAUUAAUGCCCCAUAGUAUAUAACCUUCGCAUGUUGGUUAUAUUAAAGUUCCAACGGUACAAGAUGAGCAUGCGUCCCAUUAGUUAGUUGGUAAGGUAACGGCUUACCAAGACGAUGAUGGGUAGGGGUCCUGAGAGGGAGAUCCCCCACACUGGUACUGAGACACGGACCAGACUCCUACGGGAGGCAGCAGUGAGGAAGAUUGGUCAAUGGUCGCAAGACUGAACCAGCCAUGCCGCGUGCAGGAAGACGGUCCUAUGGAUUGUAAACUGCUUUUAUACAGGAAGAAACCCUCCCACGUGUGGGAGCUUGACGGUACUGUAGGAAUAAGAAUCGGCUAACUCCGUG
rnacentral:rRNA from 1 species